GACGAACGCUGGCGGCGUGCCUAAUACAUGCAGGUCGAACGAGAGCAACCGGUGCUUGCACUGGUCAAUCUAGUGGCGAACGGGUCAGUAACACGUGGGUAACCUGCCCAUCAGAGGGGGAUAACAUCCGGAAACGGAUGCUAAAACCGCAUAGGUCUUCGAACCGCAUGGUUUGAAGAGGAAAAGAGGCGCAAGCUUCUGCUGAUGGAUGGACCCGCGGUGCAUUAGCUAGUUGGUGAGGUAACGGCUCACCAAGGCCGUGAUGCAUAGCCGACCUGAGAGGGUGAUCGGCCACAUUGGGACUGAGACACGGCCCAAACUCCUACGGGAGGCAGCAGUAGGGAAUCUUCCGCAAUGGACGCAAGUCUGACGGAGCAACGCCGCGUGAGUGAAGAAGGUUUUCGGAUCGUAAAACUCUGUUGUUAGAGAGGAACAAGUGCUAGAGUAACUGUUAGCGCCUUGACGGUAGCUAACCAGAAAGCCACGGCUAACUACGUG
rnacentral:rRNA from 1 species